rnacentral:rRNA from 1 species
AGUGAACGCUGGCGGUAGGCCUAACACAUGCAAGUCGAACGGCAGCACAGUAAGAGCUUGCUCUUACGGGUGGCGAGUGGCGGACGGGUGAGGAAUACAUCGGAAUCUACUUUUUCGUGGGGGAUAACGUAGGGAAACUUACGCUAAUACCGCAUACGACCUACGGGUGAAAGCAGGGGAUCUUCGGACCUUGCGCGAUUGAAUGAGCCGAUGUCGGAUUAGCUAGUUGGCGGGGUAGAGGCCCACCAAGGCGACGAUCCGUAGCUGGUCUGAGAGGAUGAUCAGCCACACUGGAACUGAGACACGGUCCAGACUCCUACGGGAGGCAGCAGUGGGGAAUAUUGGGCAAUGGGCGCAAGCCUGAUCCAGCCAUACCGCGUGGGUGAAGAAGGCCUUCGGGUUGUAAAGCCCUUUUGUUGGGAAAGAAAAGCAGCAGGUUAAUACCCCGCUGUUCUGACGGUACCCAAAGAAUAAGCACCGGCUAACUUCGUG